rnacentral:rRNA from 1 species
GCAGUCGAGGGGUAUAGUUCUUCGGAAUUAGAGACCGGCGCACGGGUGCGUAACGCGUAUGCAAUCUACCUUUCACAGAGGGAUAGCCCAGAGAAAUUUGGAUUAAUACCUCAUAGUAUAUAGAGUUGGCAUCAACACUAUAUUAAAGUCACAACGGUGAAAGAUGAGCAUGCGUCCCAUUAGCUAGUUGGUAAGGUAACGGCUUACCAAGGCAACGAUGGGUAGGGGUCCUGAGAGGGAGAUCCCCCACACUGGUACUGAGACACGGACCAGACUCCUACGGGAGGCAGCAGUGAGGAAUAUUGGUCAAUGGGCGCAAGCCUGAACCAGCCAUGCCGCGUGCAGGAUGACGGUCCUAUGGAUUGUAAACUGCUUUUGUACGGGAAGAAACAACUCUACGUGUAGAGUCUUGACGGUACCGUAAGAAUAAGGAUCGGCUAACUCCGUGCCAGCAGCCGCGGUAAUACGGAGGAUCCAAGCGUUAUCCGGAAUCAUUGGGUUUAAAGGGUCCGUAGGCGGUUUAGUAAGUCAGUGGUGAAAGCCCAUCGCUCAACGGUGGAACGGCCAUUGAUACUGCUAGACUUGAAUUAUUAGGAAGUAACUAGAAUAUGUAGUGUAGCGGUGAAAUGCUUAGAGAUUACAUGGAAUACCAAUUGCGAAGGCAGGUUACUACUAAUGGAUUGACGCUGAUGGACGAAAGCGUGGGUAGCGAACAGGAUUAGAUACCCUGGUAGUCCACGCCGUANACGAUGGAUACUAGCUGUUGGGAGCAAUCUCAGUGGCUAAGCGAAAGUGAUAAGUAUCCCACCUGGGGAGUACGUUCGCAAGAAUGAAACUCAAAGGAAUUGACGGGGGCCCGCACAAGCGGUGGAGCAUGUGUUUUAAUUCGAUG